AAUGGGCAACCGGCGAACGGGUGCGUAACACGUGAGCAACCUGCCGAUCUGUGUGGAAUAGCCGGCCCAACGGCCGGGUAAUACCGCAUACGCUCAGUCUGUAGCAUUACGGAUUGAGGAAACCUUUUUGGGCGGAUCGAGGGGCUCGCGGCCUAUCAGCUAGUUGGCGAGGUAAUGGCUCACCAAGGCGAUGACGGGUAGCUGGUCUGAGAGGAUGGCCAGCCACAUUGGGACUGAGAUACGGCCCAGACUCCUACGGGAGGCAGCAGUGGGGAAUAUUGCGCAAUGGCCUAACGGCUGACGCAGCGACGCCGCGUGUGGGAUGAAGCCCUUCGGGGUGUAAACCGCUGUUGCCCGGGACGAACAGCGAGCUUCAGCUUGCCUGACGGUACCGGGUGAGGAAGCACCGGCUAACUCCGUGCCAGCAGCCGCGGUAAUACGGAGGGUGCGAGCGUUGUCCGGAAUCACUGGGCGUAAAGGGCGCGUAGGUGGUGCGAUAAGUGUGUGGUGAAAGCCCGGGGCUCAACCCCGGGUCUGCCGUGCAAACUGUCGGACUGGAGGACUGCACAGGCACGUAGAAUUCCCGGUGUAUGCGGUGGAAUGCGUAUAGAUCCGGAUACAAGAUCGUUGGCUAAGGCAACCUGUAUGGGCAGUUACUAGACUCAUGAGGCCGCGAAACCCCUGCGGAUACCCGCCACAAAGAAUUGUUAUACUCCUGUCUAGUACAUAGC
rnacentral:rRNA from 1 species